UACGUAGGGUGCAAGCGUUAAUCGGAAUUACUGGGCGUAAAGCGUGCGCAGGCGGUUGUGCAAGACAGAUGUGAAAUCCCCGGGCUCAACCUGGGAAUUGCAUUGUGACUGUACGGCUAGAGUGUGUCAGAGGGGGGUAGAAUUCCACGUGUAGCAGUGAGAUGCGUAGAGAUGUGGAGGAAUACCGAUGGCGAAGGCAGCCCCCUGGGAUAACACUGACGGCUCAUGCACGAAAGCGUGGGAGCAAACAGG
rnacentral:rRNA from 1 species